CCUGGGCAUGGUGGUGCACACCUGUAAUCCUAGAUACUCAGGAGGCUGAGGCAGGAGGAUCUUGAGUUCAGGGCCAGCCUGGGCAACUCAGUAAGUCUCUGUCUCAA
rnacentral:sRNA from 1 species